UACGGGGGGGGUAAGCGUUGUUCGGAAUUACUGGGCGUAAAGGGCUCGUAGGCGGCCAACUAAGUCAGACGUGAAAUCCCUCAGCUUAACUGGGGAACUGCGUCUGAUACUGGAUGGCUUGGAUUCGGGAGAGGAAUGCGGAAUUCCAGGUGUAGCGGUGAAAUGCGUAGAUAUCUGGAGGAAUACCGGUGGCGAAGGCGGCAUCCUGGACCGGCAUUGACGCUGAGGAGCGAAAGCUGAGGGAGCAAACGGG
rnacentral:rRNA from 1 species